AUUGAACGCUGGCGGCAGGCUUAACACAUGCAAGUCGAGCGAGCGGCGGACGGGUGAGUAAUGUAUGGGGAUCUGCCUGAUGGAGGGGGAUAACUACUGGAAACAGUAGCUAAUACCGCAUACCAUAAGAUGAGCCCAUAUGGGAUUAGCUUGUAGGUGAGGUAACGGCUCACCUAGGAGACGAUCCCUAGCUGGUCUGAGAGGAUGAGCAGCCACACUGGGACUGAGACACGGCCCAGACUCCUACGGGAGGCAGCAGUGGGGAAUAUUGGACAAUGGGCGAAAGCCUGAUCCAGCCAUGCCGCGUGUAUGAUGAAGGCCUUCGGGUUGUAAAGUACUUUUAGCAGAGAAGCGGUACCGGCAGAAGAAGCACCGGCUAACUCCGUGCCAGCAGCCGCGGUAAUUC
rnacentral:rRNA from 1 species